CACUUGUUGUACGUUCCGUUUUCUUGUUUGGAGAAAUUUUAUUUCUCUCGAUUUUGUCAUGUUUUGUAUGAUUGAAUAGGUUGCAAUUCAUGCUGAUAUUUGGUUAUUUUUUUGGGAAUAUGGCGACCACGGUGAUGCGGAGGGGGCUAGGCAAAGGGUCACCAAUGGAUCGAGGACGUGCGGGAGGAUGCAGAGGAGGUUGCAGCUGCGAUGGCCUCUCGAUGCUGCUAGAGAAGGAGGACGCGGACUACAAACGCUUGACUAGCAUCGUCGACGACGCUGUGUGAAAUUCCACACAGCCAGGUGCAUUGGAAUAAUUUCCAUGAAUACAAGGUCCCCUAAUUUUUGUAAUGCAACAAACAGGUAACAUUGCCAAGUUUUUCUUCACCCUCUCUUAUUAAGGAAAUAACUACAAGUGACAAUCCCCCGUUUUUUGUACUAGGUAACUUGGCAUAUUUAACAAGCAUGUCUUUGUUCCAGCUAAUUUUCUUAUAUGUGGUUGUUUGGAGGGGUCACUUUUGUUGUAUUGGAUUGGAGUACUACCAUUGGUUGGCCUUUUGAACAGGAACACAAAAUGUAACCAGCAUGGCACCAGUAUUCCAUCUCACACACCUCCUUAAGUUGCAGCCAAAAAAGUCUGUUGGUUGGUUCUACACCCUCACGCAAUAAGUUUUAUAUUAGAAUUUUUUUUUUAAAUCUUUCAGGCUAACCUGAGUGCAUUUUUUUCCACGUAACCCGAGUGCAAAUUGAACUGCUAUUUUAGUUGCAUAUUAGAUUCACAAUGCUGCCCUGUGCCAGGAUAAGUGGAUAACAAACCUUAAAUACGUCAGAUCACAAACCGUUUGUUGAUCUUAUUUAGAAUGAUGGGAGCUCAAAUUUAUUGCUCAAUGUGCAACACAGGAAUAAUCUUUCAUUUAUCUUAUUUAGCUGGUUCUCAUGUUAUGUCGAACUAAAGUCAAUUACCAUAAUAAGAAAACAAAAGUCAGUUAUUGUUGCUCAUACGGAACCAUGGAUGAUGAACAUCAGGUAUGCGCGUAAUAA